UCAUCAGGACUUGAACCCGCGACCUUCCAGCUUGUAGCAUAGUCCCUUAACCAACUACGCUACUGCAUGCCCCCCAUCCCAAUAUAUAAUAUAGAGAUGCAGAUUACAGUUUCAUUCAUGAGGAUCUGUUGCACACUGGAUAGGGCACACUGUGAACACAACCAAAGUACCAAUGAAAGCCAGACCUAUGGAAGCAGGAACUAACAGUGCAUAACGAACAGAGGAACCUAUCGCCUCCACCUCCACCUACAGGGUAGAAGAAAAAAGAAGAAAAUCCGCGAGCAAGGAACCAGUGUAAGCAGGUGCUAACAGACAUCCAUAUAGAAUUACAAAAUUAACCCUUUCCACUCCCAAGUCAGUGAAAAAUUAAUUCACUGUGACAGAACAGAAGAAUUAUUUGUACUGUAAGAAAAUUUCCAGCAGCACAGAUCGGACUUGGACUAAUAGAACACAAUGAACACAGACACAUUGGCAAUGAGGUGGUAUAUGCUUCUGAAAUAGUUAUAUGGUUAGAAGUGGUAAAAAUUUGGAAACUAAAUAUAGCAGACUUACUGUCAUAUUCAGUAGAACUGACAUCUGGAUCUUUACAUACAGCCUUUGAAUCAUGCAAGUUUCAAUAAUAAAUUUGUUUAACCAUCACAUCUGUGAGCAGUGAAAAUUUAUCAAGUUUUUCUUGAGAAAUUACAAUGAAUACCUGAAUGGGAACAUCAAAAUGUAUUUUAAUGGCACUCAACUGAAACGUUGGAAAAUUAAAGAAUAAGUAUGAAUGACAUGUUUCAUGGAGGGCCUGAGGAAAAUCAUGAGAAACAUGCUUGCUAGCUGGUUUCCCAAUCAAGUUUUGAAAUGGGAUACAAAGGAAAACCGCCAACUAUCACAAUGAAACAUUUGUUACUUUACCUAUCAAAUGAUGUUGCUCUGUAAAAAAGUAAAGGUAUCCCUGUAACAGGCCAUGAAAGCCCAUAGGGUUGUGAGACGUUGAGGAUCCCACA